CACGUAGGGCGCAAGCGUUGUCCGGAAUUAUUGGGCGUAAAGAGCUCGUAGGUGGUUUGUUACGUCUGCUGUGAAAACCUAGGGCUUAACCCUGGGCUUGCAGUGGAUACGGGCAGACUAGAGGUAGGUAGGGGAGAAUGGAAUUCCUGGUGUAGCGGUGAAAUGCGCAGAUAUCAGGAGGAACACCAGCGGCGAAGGCGGCGCUCUGGGCCGGUACUGACACUGAGGAGCGAAAGCGUGGGUAGCAAACAGG
rnacentral:rRNA from 1 species